UAAACUAUGCCAACUGGGCAUCUGGCGUUUGCAAUUAAGCAUCGCCAGGCACCCCGCGGGAAACCAAAGUUAUUGGGUUCCGGGGGGAGUAUGGUUGCAAAAUCGAAACUUAAAGGAAUUGACGGAGGGGCACACCAGAAGUGGAGCCUGCGGCUCAAUUUGACUCAACGCACGAAAACUUACUCGGUCCGAACACCGUGAGGAUUGACAGGUUGAUAGCUCUUUCUUGAUUCGGUGGGUGGUGGUGCAUGGCCGUUCGUAGUUGGUGGAGUGAUUUGUCUGGUUUAUUCCGAUAACGAACGAGACUCUAGCCUAUUAAUUAGUGAAGCGUGCAAACCUUCAAAUAUUGUUGAAUGGUGACGCCGCUAAAACACUUCUUAGAGGGACAAGUGUCGUGAGGCACUCGAAGUUGAGCAAUAACAGGUCUGUGAUGCCCUUAGAUGUUCGGGGCUGCACGCGCGCUACAAUGGAGGCUGCAAAGCGCUUUCCUGUUUCGAAAGAAAUGGGGAAUCAAAAAUAGCCUUCACGAUUGGGAUCGGAGAUUGUAAUUAUUCUUCGUGAAAGAGGAAUUCCUAGUAAACGCGAAUCAUUAUUUCGCGUUGACUAAGUCCCUGCCCUUUGUACACACCGCCCGUCGCUACUACCGAUCGAAUGGUUUAGUGAGGUCUUCGGAUGGGUUGCAUGGAGCCACAAGCUUCACUGCAUGCUUCAAAAGUUGACCGAACUUAACCAUUUAGAGGAAGUAAAAG
rnacentral:rRNA from 1 species